GACGAACGCUGGCGGCGUGCUUAACACAUGCAAGUCGAACGGAAAGGCCCUGCUUUUGUGGGGUGCUCGAGUGGCGAACGGGUGAGUAACACGUGAGUAACCUGCCCUUGACUUUGGGAUAACUUCAGGAAACUGGGGCUAAUACCGGAUAGGAGCUCCUGCUGCAUUGUGGGGGUUGGAAAGUUUCGGCGGUUGGGGAUGGACUCGCGGCUUAUCAGCUUGUUGGUGGGGUAGUGGCUUACCAAGGCUUUGACGGGUAGCCGGCCUGAGAGGGUGACCGGCCACAUUGGGACUGAGAUACGGCCCAGACUCCUACGGGAGGCAGGAGUGGGGAAUAUUGCACAAUGGGCGGAAGCCUGAUGCAGCAACGCCGCGUGCGGGAUGACGGCCUUCGGGUUGUAAACCGCUUUCGCCUGUGACGAAGCGUGAGUGACGGUAAUGGGUAAAGAAGCACCGGCUAACUACGUG
rnacentral:rRNA from 1 species